AGCUUCCUUCCGUUUCGUAGAGCGAUGCGCGAAUCGUAGUCAGCGUCAAAAUCGUUAUUUGAUUAAUACGAGUGAGGAGAUUCCUUCAAAUUUUGAAAAUGAUAAAAUAUCUCACAUUUAAUGGCAGAUUUAACAAAGAGCGCAUUAUGACAUGCGGGGUCAACAAAAUAACGAUACGUAUCAUUUUCAUGUAAUGCAUUAUACAAAAUUUUCAAUAUAUUAUUAUUGUCCGUAAUUACAACA